UUGCAUCGUGUUUAACUCCUUCGGGGAAUUUAUUAAAGCCAAAGAUAGAUAAUCAUCUUUUUUAAUUUUUCAGUUUCUAGAAAGAAGAGUACUUCCUGUAUCCUUUAUAGCAUUUAAUAAUGACAACUUAACCUCCUACUUAGGACAUAUGCUUUAGAGGAUUUCAAGAGCCAUCUGUCUGAAAAAGAUUCGCGAUACGAUCUGGGGCCCUUCAAGAAAAAAUACUUAGGAUGUGAUAUUCAAAGGGGGACCAUAAUCCGGCCUCCCACGAUGUUCCUAAAUUUAACAUUUCUUAUGAAUUACGAGAGAGGCUUGUACACAGUUUUCGAACCCUAGCCAACUGUGUUUUAUAAAACGUCGGCCCACGUGCGCACGAGCGCAAUCGACGCGAUGAAUUGAUUGGAGAAUAAAUUAUCUGGAAAAAAGUCUUAGUAAUUUUGUACGAACAAAUAAGCUGAAAAAUAUGAAGAAACAAAUUGUGUUAAUGGAAUUUUGUGGAAACAAAUUGAAAAUACGAACGAGCAAGCUGUUCCGGAAAAUAUUUAGAAAACUUUAUACAAAUAAAUAGGUGGAAAAUAUAGAUGAAGUUCCGAGUAUAUUUUGAGAAUAAAUGUACAAGAAUAUAUCAAGUUCUACAUUUCACUUUCAUAAUGCUAAAUUUUUGUAACUAUAUGAGAAUACUACUAAAUGGUUCAUGGUGCAUCUGCCCUUUGAGGCGUGCUACCCUUGAAACAACAGGUCGAUCGUUAUCGUUGAUGCCACUUUCGCCACAAUUCAGAUGAAUGAAGAGAGCCGAGCAUAAUCGCGCACGUUAUUGAGGCGAAUGGUUUCCGGAAACGACCAUGAUUCGUUUACGAUUCAGAGGAUUAUUUUUUAUGAGAUUUAUUAGAUUGCUUCUUUAAAAGAAAUUUUAAUAUGACAAUUUGUCUAUCAACAAAAGUAAUCGUACAAACUAUUAACGUUUCUUCAACUUGAACCAUUGAACGAAGGAUUAAACACUUUUUUGUGGCGCCUGUUUACACCGGAUUAGAUUAAAUAUCGCGGCCAUUAAUCACGAAUGCAUCGUAACACCAGGGAAAAAGAGCAUAGUUCCCAUCGUCUUCGAACGAUCCUGUUUACUUGUGCGUCCCAGGGAGAAAUCAUCAAUCAUCGCUUUGGCGACAGCGCUGCUAUCGAAAUCACUGUGAUAUAUAACUCUUGAUGUAUUUUCUCUUUCAGUACGGAACAAAGCGCAUGUGCGCGGGCGUACAUCCAUUAGAAAACACAACGGAAAAGAGUUAACCACGCUAAAGUAAAGAAUAAUAAAUAAACGAUCGCGUUAAAUUUUCCUUCCAAGUGGUUUCCUACAUAGUAUUAUUCUCUACAUUAUUCUUUACAUUUCUGUAUAUUAUCGACUACAAUCUAAUUUUUAGAUUUAAAAUAAUUAUGCCUAUUAAAAAAUUCUAAAAAUCUCUCUGUCAAAAGAAAUUCCACGGUGCAAAUUCCAAAUUCCAAUACCAAGGUCUCCGAAAUUUUAUUAUAUUUGGCCAAUAUAUUAUCGAUUGCUCUUUAUCCAUUUCCAAUUGGAUUCGCCCGAGAAAUAAGUAGAGAUUCGAAGUUUUCUGCGUCGGUCCAUUUACACCUUGGUGAAACAGGAUAAAAAAGGGGACCGUCGGAGGACCAUUAGGCUGGUAGGAAAAAAUGUUUCUUAUUCGAAGAGCGACCGCAACGCGGCUCGUUUCGCUCUCCUCUAAUUUCCAAGCGUACCGCGGAAAGAUGGAGCAUGUCGGCUAGCAAGCGAUUUGUUCUUUUGGUGGAAGUCGAUGAUGGCUUGUGCGAACCACGCUGGAAAACGAAAUGAGCAACAAGAAAACGCGAUCUUGAGCAAGGUGGUAAUUACACUACUGGCAGAAACUCUCCAUCAUAGUCUCCAUCAUACCCCAUGAAAUACACGUUUCUAUGCUCGAUGAAAGAUCGAUGAAUUGAUCGACGAUGGUAUUGCCUUGGAGAUUUUGAGUGAAAAUUAUACGUGAAUUGAAUUUCUUGCGAACUGCGCGCAAUGCUGAUUACUACAAGAUAAAGUUGCGCUGUAAAUGAAAGAGAAGGAAUUUCGAAAUAUUGGGAAAUAUUUUUGUAAAAAGAGAAUUUUUUAGACUGGAUUUUUAAGGGCAUUUCUUAUAUUUAUGAUAUUCUGCAAAUACCGGGUGUAUAAGCAAAAUUAUGCUAUGAACGAAGAAAAAUAAUCGUUAUAGCGCCUCAGAAUGAAAAUUCGAUAUUCAAUUAUUCUUGCCGUAAUCGACAGUAAACUAUCCUGCUUAAGAAAUGUACGUCGAUAAUAUCACAAGCAUAAAUCUGUAUUUAAAAAUAAAUCUUACGUCUUUGGGGAUGAUCCGCCAGAAAACCUCCAACUUACAAACUUGAAAUGUUAUAUCUCAUAAAGAAACGUUUUUAAUAUCACUGGAAUAUCUCUAAAGGGAUCUUAAUUAAUGGCUGUUUAAGGUAAAUUGUAAUAGUUUGAAGCGAAAAGAAAUUUUGUAUAAAAAUAAUAAACUUUGAAAACGUUUUCUAAGAAGGAAUCAAGCAACGCUACAGUGUAGAAAAUGUAAUGCAGAAUAUACAUAAUUGCUUGAAAAGGAGAACAUCGGAUAUGCAAUUCCAAGGAAAACAUAAAAAGCUUUUAAGAUAAGAUUUCCCGUUGAUGAGUUUCCCACAUAUUCAUCCUUAUAGUUUCCUCAGUAGUUUGAAUCUUGAUCAAUCGUUUUGAUACAGUAUUUUAUACGUCUGAUGCUUUAAGCAAAUUAAGAAAUAUUCCCAAGAGUUAAAGUAGAAGGAAUAAACUAGUAAUGACUGCGAAACAGCAAAAUAUGGUAACAAUGUCAACGGAUUGUAAUUUGAAAUAAAAAUUCGUGGAGGUGGGCUGACCUUGAGAAUGACUAAGGCUAAAAAUGACUAUAGUUCAGGUCAGUACACCUGAGUCAUGCAAUUCGAAUUCCAUUGAGAUGAGCAAUAUGUACUACCGUGUACUUAACGCGUAAUUCAUAAGUAGACCGCGGAUAUUUAUGCAGUUAUGGCAAAUUGGAAGAUACGAAAGUGCGCAUAACACACAAAAGUUGAUAAAAUAUCCAAAAUGGAGUAUUCGUUAUAAUUCUUAUGAUUUGAAAGCAAUAUACUGUUCCUGUAACGUGCCCA